rnacentral:lncRNA from 1 species
CAGAGUGAGACUCUGUCUCACUCUGUUGCACAGUUUACAACAACAAAACUAUAGCAUCCAUCACAUAGAGGAGAGACUCCCCAACACACAUAUAAGGAUUACUCUCAGCCCCAGCUCCCUCAAACUUCCUAAGAUCAGCACUGGUAUCUGAUGGUGGCUCCUUGUAAAUCAAACUUAAUGGAGUAUGUGUUAUUUGGUUUAUGUUUAUGUGCAGCCUGCAUAACAACCACUCUGUCAACAUCAUGCAUAUGUUCAUUGUGUUGGUACUAGAAGACUCUAUGACACACACAAGCUGAUGUCAUCUGAUGGGUCUAUUUUAUCUACUUGGCUGUGCAAAUCCUCUUCUGUAGUAUAUGCUUUCUGGUGGACACUAAUAUGGAACACAAAGAUCUUCUCACAUUGCAGCUGCUCCCAUAUAUCCAUUGAUAUAUGCCUCUAACUCCAGACCUUUUUGUCCUUAAUCUUCUAAUCCGGUUAUCUCUUUUCCUUUAGUGCAAUUUUUCCUUAUUUGUUUGUUUUGUUUUUUUUUUUAAGUAAAUAGCUAGGCUUCUAAGCCCUACCACAGAGAGUCAACAGACAAACUGCCCAGGGAAAAGUUAUGACCUCAGGCAAAGUGAAUUUCUACAGCUAAGGCAGAUCCUGAAGAAGCUCACAAAUAAAGGCUGCAUACUCACACAUUCCCUGAAGCUUGACAGUGCCAGCCACCAUACUGUGAGGGAGCUGAAGUAAGCCCACAUGAGGAAGAAUUGAGGUCCCAAGCCAACAGCUGCAGCUAAGAUCCAAGCUCUCAACCAGUACCAGUUCAUCCGUUAUUUCCCAACAAUAUCAAUGAAUAAGAAGGAAGUCUUAAGGCUCCAGGAAUCCCCUCAGGGAGACUAGCUUUCAGAAUUUUAGGCACACUAAGAUAUGGAAGCUAAAAGAGGACUAAGAGGAUUCUGGGGAUAUUACAAGAUAUUGCAGACUAUCUUGUUUUCCUGGAAAAGGAUUUUACCUCAGUCGACUGAAUUACUUUUUUCACUGUGUCUUGCCACUCUUCGUGCAUGCAUCAAAGACCCUAAUAUGACUUCUGGUGGCCUGGGACUCCUUGGGAAAACAGAAAAGGGGCCACAAAUCCCAUUUUGGGAACAAUCUGUUUUACUCAUGGAACCCCUGGAAUUAGAG